GAUGAAGAACGCAGCGAAAUGCGAAAAGUAGUGUGAAUUGCAGAAUUCAGUGAAUCAUCGAGUCUUUGAACGCACAUUGCGCCCCCUGGUAUUCCGGGGGGCAUGCCUGUCCGAGCGUCAUUGCUGCCCUCAAGCACGGCUUGUGUGUUGGGCCGUCGUCCCCCUCCUAGGGGACGGGCCCGAAAGGCAGCGGCGGCACCGCGUCCGGUCCUCGAGCGUAUGGGGCUUCGUCACCCGCUCCGUAGGCCCGGCCGGCGCUUGCCGACGACCAUCAAUCUCUUUCUCCAGGUUGACCUCGGAUCAGGUAGGGAUACCCGCUGAACUUAAGCAUAUCAAUAAGCGGAGGA
rnacentral:misc_RNA from 1 species